rnacentral:rRNA from 1 species
GACGAACCGUAUGAACGUUAUUCGGAAUCACUGGGCUUAAAGGGUGCGUAGGCUGCGCGGAAAGUUGGGUGUGAAAUCCCUCGGCUCAACCGAGGAACUGUGCCCAAAACUGCCGUGCUCGAGGGAGACAGAGGUGAGCGGAACUUAGGGUGGAGCGGUGAAAUGCGUUGAUAUCCUAAGGAACACCGGUGGCGAAAGCGGCUCACUGGGUCUCUUCUGACGCUGAGGCACGAAAGCUAGGGUAGCGAACGGG